AAAGGGUUGGGUAAACUAAAUUUUGAGUAAGUAAAAGGUUGGGUAAAUGAAAAACAAAACAACUCAAGGGUUGGGUAAUAAAAAAUUAUUUCCAAAGCAUGACUCACUGAAGUAUUGGGGACUAAAAAGCAAUGGCAACAGACAGUAGGCCACCCCAGAGUAGGCCGCCAUAUGUCAAUACAAUAUGUGAAUCAAUCAGAGUCACUAUCUUGAUCAAUUUCCGAUGGGAUCUCCAAAGAAAGUACAUGUGCAGACAACAUGAAACUUUAGACUGCAGAAAAUUUCACAAUCCGUUAUCAAACUUAUGUCACAAAAGUGGUAAAGGACAUAUGUGACAACUGAAUGGUACAUUUUGUAAAUUUUUUGGCCAGGGGUGGGUAUUUAUUUUUUAAUUGAUAUUUGAGGUUGGGUAAUAAUUUUUUUUUACUUUUUAAUGGUUGGGUCAGCAAAAUGUUUGCCAGGAAAAAUAUUUCUCUUCG